AUGAACGCUGGCGGCGUGCCUAACACAUGCAAGUCGAGCGAAGCGGCGGACGGGUGAGUAACGCGUAGGCAACCUGCCUCAUGCAGAGGGAUAGCCUCGGGAAACUGGGAUUAAUACCUCAUAGCAUGAGAUGGGCCUGCGUCUGAUUAGUUAGUUGGUGGGGUAACGGCCUACCAAGGCAACGAUCAGUAGCCGACCUGAGAGGGUAAUCGGCCACAUUGGAACUGAGACACGGUCCAAACUCCUACGGGAGGCAGCAGUGGGGAAUAUUGCACAAUGGGCGCAAGCCUGAUGCAGCAACGCCGCGUGAGCGAGGAAGGCUUUCGGGUCGUAAAGCUCUGUCCUUGGGGAAGCGGUACCCAAGGAGGAAGCCCCGGCUAACUACGUGCCAGCAGCCGCGGUAAUACGUAGGGGGCAAGCGUUAUCCGGAACUAUUGGGCGUAAAGAGUACGUAGGUGGUUUUGUAAGCGCGGGGUGAAAGGCAGUGGCUUAACCAUUGUUAGCCUUGCGAACUGCAAGACUUGAGUGCAGGAGAGGGAAGCGGAAUUCCUAGUGUAGCGGUGAAAUGCGUAGAUAUUAGGAGGAACACCAGUGGCGAAGGCGGCUUUCUGGACUGUAACUGACACUGAGGUACGAGAGCGUGGGGAGCAAACAGGAUUAGAUACCCUGGUAGUCCACGCCGUAAACGAUGAGCACUAGGUGUCGGGCGGUGCCGGAGUUAACGCAUUAAGUGCUCCGCCUGGGGAGUACGCACGCAAGUGUGCAAGUCAA
rnacentral:rRNA from 1 species